ensembl:misc_RNA 7SK 7SK RNA
GGAUGUGAGGGCAAUCUGGCUGUGACAUCUGUCACCCCAUUGAUUGCCAGGGUUGAUUCGGCUGAUCUGGCUGGCUAGGCGUGUGUCUCCUUCCUCCCUCACCGCUCCAUGUACGUCCGCCCGAAGCUGCACACUCGGUCGAAGAGGAUGGCCUUCCCCAAAUAGAGACAGACCAGUCUUUGGUCGAGGGUAUACGAGUAGCUGUGCUCCCCUGCUAGAACUUCUAAACAAGCUCUCAAAGCCAGGCAUCCUCAGUCUCCCCAGGAGGGUUCCAGAGACAGCAACCCCUAUGAGUGAGAUCUGUACUGGCUGGAAGCGCCUCUCUUGCCUUCCAC